GUGAAUCAUCGAAUUUUUGAACGCAAAUUGCACUCUCUGGUAUUCCGGAGAGUAUGCCUGUUUGAGGGUCAGUUUAAAUAAAAAUCGGUGUGGUUGCUGCCUUUCGUUGUGGAGCCCCCGAUUUGGGUCGUCUUGCCUUCGGUUAAGUUCACUAAAAUUUUUCAAGGUUUUUUUCGCACGUAUUUAAAUUAUUUUAAGUUCGUUUGCCAUAACGAAUACUUGGUGUGGUCAUUCUCAUGAUUC
rnacentral:misc_RNA from 1 species